rnacentral:rRNA from 1 species
UACGUAGGGUGCAAGCGUUGUCCGGAAUUAUUGGGCGUAAAGAGCUCGUAGGCGGUUUGUCGCGUCGGCUGUGAAAACCUGGGGCUCAACCCCGGGCCUGCAGCCGAUACGGGCAGCUAGAGUUCGGUAGGGGAGACUGGAAUUCCUGGUGUAGCGGUGAAAUGCGCAGAUAUCAGGAGGAACACCAGUGGCGAAGGCGGCUCG